GAUGAACGCUGGCGGCGUGCCUAAUACAUGCAAGUCGAGCGAACAGACGAGGAACUUGCUCCUCUGACUUUAGCUUCAGACGGGUUAGUUACACGUGGAUAACCUACCUAUAAGACUGCGUUACCUUCACGAAACCGUAGCUAAUACCGGCUAAUAUAUUUACCCUCAUGGUUAUAUAUUAAAAGACGUUUUUGCUUUCACUCAUCGAUGGAUCCGCGUGGCAUUAGCUCGUAGGUAAGGUAACGGCUUAUCAAGGCAACCAUGCGUAGCCGACAUGAGAGGGAGAACGGCCAAACGGGAACAGAGAGACGACCGAGACAUCUAAGGUAGGAAGCAGUAGAGAAUCCUCCGCAAUGGGCGAAAGGGUGACGGAGCAAAGCCGAGUGAGUGAUGAAGGUCUGAGGAUCGGAAAACGAUGUUAGAAGUGAAGAACAAAUGUGUAAGUAAAUAUGAACGAAUUGACGGUACCUAAGCAGAAAGCCACGGCUAACUACGUG
rnacentral:rRNA from 1 species